rnacentral:tRNA from 1 species
AGUCCGGGGGUGUUACAUGACAGAUUGCAAGUCUGGAGACGCAGGGUAGUUCCUGCCCGGAUUUU